rfam:Oryza glumipatula chromosome 8, whole genome shotgun sequence.
UGGCAAUGAGGAGAAAUGAAAGGCCGGUCUUACGGCUGCCUCCCAUUCCCUUCCCGAUUCAAUUAGUCUCUGGUAUGGGACGGGAUGGUAGUAGCAUGAUGUGCAGUUCGGCGAAAGGUUCUCUGAGCCAU